rnacentral:rRNA from 1 species
GAGUUUGAUCAUGGCUCAGAUUGAACGCUGGCGGCAUGCCUAACACAUGCAAGUCGAACGGAAACAGGACGCUGGGAUCUCUUCGGAGUGAACUUGUCGCUGUCGAGUGGCGGACGGGUGAGUAAUGCAUAGGAAAUUGCCUUGAAGUGGGGGAUAGCCCGGAGAAAUCCGGAUUAAUACCGCAUGCGCUCUACGGAGCAAAGCAGGCCUCUGAUUUAAGCUUGCGCUUUGAGAUAUGCCUAUGUCGGAUUAGCUAGUUGGUAGGGUAAAAGCCUACCAAGGCGACGAUCCGUAGCUGGUUUGAGAGGAUGAUCAGCCACACUGGGACUGAGAUACGGCCCAGACUCCUACGGGAGGCAGCAGUGGGGAAUAUUGGACAAUGGGCGCAAGCCUGAUCCAGCAAUGCCGCGUGUGUGAAGAAGGCCUGCGGGUUGUAAAGCACUUUUAUCGGGAAAGAAAACUCAGGGUUAAUACCCUGGCCUUGACGGUACCCGAAGAAUAAG